AACGAACGCUGGCGGCAGGCUUAACACAUGCAAGUCGAACGCGAAAUCACCUUCGGGUGGUGGAGAGUGGCAGACGGGUGAGUAACGCGUGGGAACCUACCUAGUGGUACGGAAUAACUCAGGGAAACUUGGGCUAAUACCGUAUGUGCCCUACGGGGGAAAGAUUUAUCGGCAAGGGAUCGGCCCGCGUUGGAUUAGCUAGUUGGUGGGGUAAUGGCCUACCAAGGCGACGAUCCAUAGCUGGUCUGAGAGGAUGAUCAGCCACAUUGGGACUGAGACACGGCCCAAACUCCUACGGGAGGCAGCAGUGGGGAAUAUUGGACAAUGGGCGCAAGCCUGAUCCAGCCAUGCCGCGUGAGUGAUGAAGGCCUUAGGGUUGUAAAGCUCUUUCACCGGAGAAGAUAAUGACGGUAUCCGGAGAAGAAGCCCCGGCUAACUUCGUGCCAGCCGCCGCCGUAA
rnacentral:rRNA from 1 species